GGCCGCGGGAAUUCGAUUCAGGCCUAACACAUGCAAGUCGAGCGGAGUGAUGGUGCUUGCACUAUCACUUAGCGGAAACAAAGUGAGUAAUGCUUAGGAAUCUGCCUAUUAGUGGGGGACAACAUCUCGAAAGGGAUGCUAAUACCGCAUACGUCCUACGGGAGAAAGCAGGGGAUCACUUGUGACCUUGCGCUAAUAGAUGAGCCUAAGUCGGAUUAGCUAGUUGGUGGGGUAAAGGCCUACCAAGGCGACGAUCUGUAGCGGGUCUGAGAGGAUGAUCCGCCACACUGGGACUGAGAGGCGGCCCAGACUCCUACGGGAGGCAGCAGUGGGGAAUAUUGGACAAUGGGGGGAACCCUGAUCCAUCUCAAAGGGCGUGUGUGAAGAAGCCCUUAUGGUUGUAAACCUUAAAGGGCGAGGAGGAGGCUUACCUAGUUAAUACCUGGGAUAAGUGGACGUACUCGCAG
rnacentral:rRNA from 1 species